CUGGAAACCCGCAGUGCAGAGGGCAACAGGCCGACUGCAAUCGGGUGGUCUCACGUCCCGUCCACGGGUGUCUAUGGCGCACAUACGACAGAGAGGCAGAGGACGCGGCCACCGCUCCGUGGAUGUGUGAAAAGUGAUGCAUUCACCUGCUGGGUUUCGGAAGGAUCUCCUCCAUCAAGGCAGACAGACGGGCGCAGCACGGGAGAAGCCGGAGGCUGGUCCCAUCGUCCAAAACAGCAGAGGGUCCAAACUAACACAGUGACUACCGGGAGUGACCCAAGAAGGCAGACAAGAAGAUGGGGUCUUGGGGCUGGAUGAUGCACGCCCAGGCUGGCACGGAGGACCCCAUCUCCAGGGAUGUGUGGACACAGGACUAGCUCAAGG